UUUCUAAACUAAACCCUAGCCGUCUUGCACUCUAGAACGUCAUGUGGUAUCGUCUUCAUCAUUCCUCCCAUCCCUCCCAAAUCCAAGUUGUGUUGAGAUUGGUUACGUCUCAAUCUCUAAACUCGUCGUCCUUGGAAAUCCUAAAGCGUCGGAAUUAUACGACCCGACUACUGUUCGUGCUCCAAAGGCGAACCCGGAUUAGUUGCUUGCCGGUUAUCACGUGGAUUAGCAAGCAGGUUAUGAUCUGAGAGAGUCUGGUGAUCUCCGCAUUUACUUUUCUUCGGAGGUUCCAUUUAUUUUUGAUAAACUGUAAAACUGUUUUAUUCUUAGACCGCAGUAGUAACUAGACGUCUUUAUUAUUACUGUAUAUUUUGUCGGAUUGGUUCGA